GACAUAUACUAAGGACAUAUACUAAAAUUGGAACGAUACAGAGAAGAUUAGCAAGGCCCCUGCGCAAGGAUGACACGCAAAUUCGUGAAAAAAAAGGAGAGAGG